ACCAGACUCCUACGGGAGGCAGCAGUGGGGGAUAUUGCACAAUGGGGGAAACCCUGAUGCAGCGACGCCGCGUGGGCGAAGAAGUAUUUCGGUAUGUAAAGCCCUAUCAGCAGGGAAGAAGAAAUGACGGUACCUGAGUAAGAAGCCCCGGCUAACUACGUGCCAGCAGCCGCGGUAAUACGUAGGGGGCAAGCGUUAUCCGGAUUUACUGGGUGUAAGGGGAGCGUAGACGGCGACGCAAGUCUGGAGUGAAAGCCCGGGGCCCAACCCCGGGACUGCUCUGGAAACUGCGUCGCUGGAGUACGGGAGGGGCAGGCGGAAUUCCUGGUGUAGCGGUGAAAUGCGUAGAUAUCAGGAGGAACACCGGCGGCGAAGGCGGCCUGCUGGACCGUGACUGACGUUGAGGCUCGAGAGCGUGGGGAGCAAACAGGAUUAGAUACCCUAGUA
rnacentral:rRNA from 1 species